UACUUUGUUAUUGUGUUAAGAAGAAGUGAGUUGAUAACAGAAGUAAAAUAAAGAUUUGAAACUGGAAUUCACGAAUUUCAAGAUAACCACAAUGGAUUACUUAAUAACAGUCAAGACCUGUGAUCGAGCUGGAGCUGGAACAAAUUCUACAGUUUCUAUCAAACUUACUGGUAAGAAUGGUAAGGAAACUCGGUAUUUUAAGUUGGACAAAUUUCAAAUGAUUUCGAAGCAGGCGAUGAGGAUGAAUAUGAAGUAAAGCGAAAAGAUGUUGGUGAAAUUGUAAUGGUUUCCUUGAAUCUUCGCGGCUGUACGAUACUAUCUGCUUGGUUUUUGGCAAAAAUUACAAUAGAAAAAAAAGUAGUAGUCGGAGAGAAAUUUAUGCUUUUCCUUGUUAUCGAUGGA